rnacentral:rRNA from 1 species
AAACGAUGUCGAUUUGGAGGUUGUGCCCUGAGGCGUGGCUCCGGAGCUAACGCGUUAAAUCGACCGCCUGGGGAGUACGGCCGCAAGGUUAAAACUCAAAUGAAUUGACGGGGGCCCGCACAAGCGGUGGAGCAUGUGGUUUAAUUCGAUGCAACGCGAAGAACCUUACCUACUCUUGACAUCCAGAGAACUUUCCAGAGAUGGAUUGGUGCCUUCGGGAACUCUGAGACAGGUGCUGCAUGGCUGUCGUCAGCUCGUGUUGUGAAAUGUUGGGUUAAGUCCCGCAACGAGCGCAACCCUUAUCCUUUGUUGCCAGCGGUUCGGCCGGGAACUCAAAGGAGACUGCCAGUGAUAAACUGGAGGAAGGUGGGGAUGACGUCAAGUCAUCAUGGCCCUUACGAGUAGGGCUACACACGUGCUACAAUGGCAUAUACAAAGAGAAGCGACCUCGCGAGAGCAAGCGGACCUCAUAAAGUAUGUCGUAGUCCGGAUUGGAGUCUGCAACUCGACUCCAUGAAGUCGGAAUCGCUAGUAAUCGUAGAUCAGAAUGCUACGGUGAAUACGUUCCCGGGCCUUGUACACACCGCCCGUCACACCAUGGGAGUGGGUUGCAAAAGAAGUAGGUAGCUUAACCUUCGGGAGGGCGCUUACCACUUUGUGAUUCAUGACUGGGGUGAAGUCGUAACAAGGUAACCAAGGGCGAAUUCCAG